rnacentral:rRNA from 1 species
CCUACGGGAGGCAGCAGUAGGGAAUAUUGCUCAAUGGGGGAAACCCUGAAGCAGCAACGCCGCGUGGAGGAUGAAGGUUUUAGGAUUGUAAACUCCUUUUGUUAGAGAAGAUUAUGACGGUAUCUAACGAAUAAGCACCGGCUAAAUCCGUGACAGCAGCCGCGGUAAUACGGAGGGUGCAAGCGUUACACGGAAUCACUGGGCGUAAAGGGUGCGUAGGCGGGGUAAUAAGUCAGAUGUGAAAUCCUGUAGCUUAACUACAGAACUGCAUUUGAAACUGUUACUCUGGAGUGUAGGAGAGGUAGGUGGAAUUCUUGGUGUAGGGGUAAAAUCCGUAGAGAUCAAGAGGAAUACUCAUUGCGAAGGCGACCUGCUGGAACAUUACUGACGCUGAUGCACGAAAGCGUGGGGAGCAAACAGGAUUAGAUACCCGGGUAGUC